AGCGAACGCUGGCGGCAGGCCUAACACAUGCAAGUCGAACGAACCUUUCGGGGUUAGUGGCGGACGGGUGAGUAACACGUGGGAACGUGCCUUUAGGUUCGGAAUAACUCAGGGAAACUUGUGCUAAUACCGAAUGUGCCCUUCGGGGGAAGGAUUUAUCGCCUUUAGAGCGGCCCGCGUCUGAUUAGCUAGUUGGUUGAGGUAAUGGCUCACCUAGGCGACGAUCAGUAGCUGGUCUGAGAGGAUGAUCAGCCACAUUGGGACUGAGACACGGCCCAAACUCCUACGGGAGGCAGCAGUGGGGAAUCUUGCGCAAUGGGCGAAAGCCUGACGCAGCCAUGCCGCGUGAAUGAUGAAGGUCUUAGGAUUGUAAAAUUCUUUCACCGGGGACGAUAAUGACGGUACCCGGAGAAGAAGCCCCGGCUAACUUCGUG
rnacentral:rRNA from 1 species